GGAGGGGCCGAGCCGGUGGCGCGCGUCUCUGCGCGGGGAUGGCGCUGUGGCCGCCGCGCUCCCGGGGUCUCCGCGCGGGGGAGGGGCAGGAGCCGGACCCGGACCCGCCCUGCGCGCCCCGCCCGCCGGACCCGCAGAUAUAUGGCCAUGGGAUUGAAUUGGCUUGCCAAAAACAAAAGGAGUUUGUGAAGAGCUCUGUGGAAUGCAAAUGGAAUUUAGCAGAAGCCCAGCAGAAACUUGGUAGUUUAGCACUGCAUAACUCUGAGUCCCUGGAUCAGGAACAUGCCAAAGCACAGACUGAUGCUUCAGAAUUGAGACAGAGGGAGGAAGAAUGGAGACAGAAAGAAGAGGCGCUAAUACAGAGGGAAACACAAAAUCUGUGGAACACAGAUUCUGUUAGCAAGGAUGUAUUUAAUAAGAGUUUUAUUAAUCAAAAGAAAAGAAAAGAAAUAGAAGAUGAAGACAAAUCCAAAUCAUUCAUGCAGAAACAUGAACAAAAAAUUAGACAUUUUGGCAUGCUAAGCAGAUGGGAUGAUAGCCAGAGAUUUUUGUCUGACCAUCCAUACCUUGUAUGUGAAGAUACAGCUAAAUAUCUCCUCUUAUGGUGUUUUCACCUAGAAGCAGAACAGAAAAGGGCUCUGAUGGAACAAGUAGCACACCAAGCAGUUGUUAUGCAGUUUAUUAUAGAAAUGGCUAAAAGUUGUAAUGUGGAUCCCAGAGGCUGUUUUCGUCUAUUUUUCCAAAGAGCAAAAGCAGAAGAAGAAGGUUAUUUUGAGGCUUUUAAAAAUGAACUCGAAGCAUUUAAAUCAAGAGUGAAAAUCUCUUCACAAUCACAAAGUUUUCAGGCUAUGUCAGUUCAGAAUCCCAUUGCUCAUACUGGUCUCAGUUCCUUAGGCGUGUUGGAGUUUUUGCCACAGACUGCAGACUCUCUUCAAAGCUGCGUAAACACAGGUCUCUUUAAUUUAAACUCAUUGGUACACCGAGAUGAUGAGGAACCCAAAAUGAUGGACACAAUAUAAUACUGUUAAGACUGAGGCCAAGUACUUUUAUUACAAAGAAAAGAACGUGGCUCUUUUCUUGACACUUACUUUUCUGGGUGCUGCACUUUAUUUUUUGCGUUUGUUUUUUGGAAGGAGGGUAAUCCAGAAACACAUUUGUCAUUUUGUUUGAAAAUGUGCUGCUAGAUUUUUGGUUCCCUUUUAGGAGAGGCGUUCUCAUAUGUUACCGAAUGUGAAACUGGAUGUUGUUUCUGCUACUUAAACUUACCUUUAUUCUUAAUUUUAGGAAUCAAAGUAUGACAAACAAAUCUGCACAAAUACAAUGUUUACGAGAAGUGGUUGAUUCUAGUUGGAAUCUGCUAUAAUCUUUUAUUAUGGACAUGGACGUGUCUUGCUCUAUGAAUACUAAGGAUCACAAUUGUACUCAUGCUAUACUGCUGACAUAAAAGAACUGAAGUUCCAUCUGCAGGUGCCUGUUGCUCUGGUAUCUAAGCCCUGAGGUUGUUGCAGGCAUGUGAAGGACAGAACACACUUCUGAUAAAAACCUCAGGACCAUCUGAGAAAGAGCAGCCAAUAUCCUAUUCUUCUGGAAAGUGAAGAAAUUUGUAUUUAGGCUAGUGCAAAGGUCGGGAGAGCUGAUGCUUUUUGUCUGGAAAUGGUCCAGAAACCCCAGUAAUGCUGGUGUCAAAUGGAAGUAUAGAACAAAUCAAGGUUUUGUAUGGGAAUGCUAAGGCAACUGUCCAAAGGAAUCUAGUCUCCAAGGAAUAUGUGUAUGUCUAGAGGUGUCUCUAAGGACAUAAAGGCUGGUGGCUGCAAAAUUUUUGUGUCAUCCUUUUUUUUUGUUUGUUUGUUUAGAAAAGGACCCAAACUGAACAGUAUCUACCUCAAUAGCCUUAUACUUACAACAAAUGAAAAGCUUUCCAAAUUCCUCAGAUGCUUUUCUUGGAAUAUGUCAGUACUGGUGGUGUUAAUACUUUGGAGUAAAAACCCUACUGUAAAGUAUUUUAACUAUGCUGGCAGUACUAGUAGAUGACCUGUUUGUUGGAUCAAUACCAGAGAGGAGUGAUGCCCUCAGCAGCAUGGUCUGCUGCCAGUUAUACCAGGUCCAUAAAGUUUAACUAUCUGGAUGUGAUGAUUACAUUGAUUUCUGUACCUAGAUCUUGCUGACCAGUUUCUGAAGAAGUGGGAUUGAGGGAAAUGAAAUCAGCAGAGUCUGUAAAGCUGAAAACAUGGGUAUGUGUUCCUUGUAAAGACUAGCAGUAGCUACAAAAAUCUGGACUGCUUGGUAUUUGAAAGAGCCAAGCUUACAGAGGGCUGUUGACCUCAGCCAUUGAAGUCCAGUGUGGAAUGGGAAUGAGGCUGGUUCCUUACCACCAAAAUAUGCAAUGUACUCAUCUCUAUUAAUUUUAUGGGAGAGACUAUUACCCUACUGUUUUAAUCUCUGCUUUAUAACCUCAUUAAUUGAGGAUUAAAGUUACACUCUACCACACCAAAUGUGGUUUUGUUUCCAGUGGGACUCUUCUAGGUGCAACUAGGUAGUCAGAAUUUUGUUAAUGUUGUAACUUAGUGGAGUGAAAUAGCAAAAAGGUCAGUUUUGUAACUUUAAAUGUGGAUAAAUAAAGGCUUCAAGAUAGCUUGACAAAACAUAGCUAACAUGUUUAAUCAAAGAAGCUUGAAUACUCUUGUGGCAAGAUUCUCCCCCACUGCUUUGGAAAUGAGAUUUAAUUUUCUGUAAUAAAACAUUUUAUUGUA